rnacentral:misc_RNA from 1 species
AAUUCUCAACCUCUCUAGCUUUAUCUAGCUGGUUAGGCUUGGAUUGUGGAAGUUGCUGGUUUUAUCAGAAAUCAGCUCUUCUUAAAUGCAUUAGCAAAACCUUUGCUGACUAUCUUUAGUAUGAUAAUUAUCUAUACUAUUGAAAAGUAGCUCCUAUGGGGAUGGUUUUGCUUCUAACAGUCCAUCUGGACAACCUUGACA